rnacentral:rRNA from 1 species
AACAGGAUUAGAUACCCUGGUAGUCCACGCCCUAAACGAUGUCAACUGGUUGUUGGGAGGGUUUCUUCUCAGUAACGUAGCUAACGCGUGAAGUUGACCGCCUGGGGAGUACGGCCGCAAGGUUGAAACUCAAAGGAAUUGACGGGGACCCGCACAAGCGGUGGAUGAUGUGGUUUAAUUCGAUGCAACGCGAAAAACCUUACCUACCCUUGACAUGUCUGGAAUCCUGAAGAGAUUUGGGAGUGCUCGAAAGAGAGCCAGAACACAGGUGCUGCAUGGCCGUCGUCAGCUCGUGUCGUGAGAUGUUGGGUUAAGUCCCGCAACGAGCGCAACCCUUGUCAUUAGUUGCUACGAAAGGGCACUCUAAUGAGACUGCCGGUGACAAACCGGAGGAAGGUGGGGAUGACGUCAGGUCAUCAUGGCCCUUAUGGGUAGGGCUACACACGUCAUACAAUGGCCGGGACAGAGGGCUGCCAACCCGCGAGGGGGAGCUAAUCCCAGAAACCCGGUCGUAGUCCGGAUCGUAGUCUGCAACUCGACUGCGUGAAGUCGGAAUCGCUAGUAAUCGCGGAUCAGCUUGCCGCGGUGAAUACGUUCCCGGGUCUUGUACACACCGCCCGUCACACCAUGGGAGCGGGUUCUGCCAGAAGUAGUUAGCCUAACCGUAAGGAGGGCGAUUACCACGGCAGGGUUCAUGACUGGGGUGAAGUCGUAACAAGGUAACC